rnacentral:rRNA from 1 species
UCAGUUCGGAUUGCAGGCUGCAACCCGCCUGCAUGAAGUCGGAAUCGCUAGUAAUCGCGGGUCAGCAUACCGCGGUGAAUACGUUCCCGGGCCUUGUACACACCGCCCGUCACACCACGAAAGUUGGUAACACCCGAAGCCGGUCGGCCUAACCCUUAGGGGAGGGAGCUGUCGAAGGUGGGACUGAUGAUUGGGGUGAAGUCGUAACAAGGUAUC